CGGGUCAACCUCCCACCCGUGUUUAUUUUACCUUGUUGCUUCGGCGGGCCCGCCUUAACUGGCCGCCGGGGGGCUUACGCCCCCGGGCCCGCGCCCGCCGAAGACACCCUCGAACUCUGUCUGAAGAUUGAAGUUUGAGUGAAAAUAUAAAUUAUUUAAAACUUUCAACAACGGAUCUCUUGGUUCCGGCAUCGAUGAAGAACGCAGCGAAAUGCGAUACGUAAUGUGAAUUGCAAAUUCAGUGAAUCAUCGAGUCUUUGAACGCACAUUGCGCCCCCUGGUAUUCCGGGGGGCAUGCCUGUCCGAGCGUCAUUGCUGCCCUCAAGCCCGGCUUGUGCGUUGGGCCCCGUCCCCCGAUCUCCGGGGGACGGGCCCGAAAGGCAGCGGCGGCACCGCGUCCGGUUCUCGAGCGUAUGGGGCUUUGUCACCCGCUCUGUAGGCCCGGCCGGCGCUUGCCGAUCAACCCAAAUUUUUAUCCAGGUUGACCUCGGAUCAGGUAGGGAUACCCGCUGAACUUAAGCAUAUCAAUAAGCGGAG
rnacentral:sRNA from 1 species